rnacentral:rRNA from 1 species
CCCCGGCGCCACAAGCGGUUAUCACGAUUAUUGGGCCUAAAGCGUUCGUAGCCGGUCUGGUAAAUCUCUUGUGAAAUUGUUCGGCUUAACCGGACAGCGUGCAGGAGACACUGCUAGACUCGAGACCGGGAGGGGUUAGAAGUAUUCCAUGGGGACUGGUAAAAUGGGAUAAUCCAUGGAAGACUACCGAUGGCGAAGGCAUCUAACCAGAACGGAUCUGACGGUGAGGAACGAAAGCCAGGGGAGCGAACCGG